GAACAAAAAUUGGCAGACCCGGUCUUCCUGAAAGAAGUGGUUGCUGUUGUGGCAGAAAUUGGAGGGAGCACUGCUGAUGAAGCCACCAGAAGAAUGAUGGCCUUCAUUAUGGACAACACUCUAUCCAGACAGUACAACUUUGUUGGGCGCCAUGGAAAGCGUGAAUUUGGAAGGCUGAAACUUUUUGAAGUACUAUAUGGCAGCUUGAAAAAAAAUGCUCUUACCUGCCAAAUUACUCGAAA